AGCGAACGCUGGCGGCAGGCUUAACACAUGCAAGUCGAGCGGGCCCUUCGGGGUCAGCGGCGGACGGGUGAGUAACGCGUGGGAACGUGCCUUCUGGUUCGGAAUAACCCUGGGAAACUAGGGCUAAUACCGGAUACGCCCUUUUGGGGAAAGGUUUACUGCCGGAAGAUCGGCCCGCGUCUGAUUAGCUAGUUGGUGGGGUAACGGCCUACCAAGGCGACGAUCAGUAGCUGGUCUGAGAGGAUGAUCAGCCACACUGGGACUGAGACACGGCCCAGACUCCUACGGGAGGCAGCAGUGGGGAAUAUUGGACAAUGGGCGUAAGCCUGAUCCAGCCAUGCCGCGUGAGUGAUGAAGGCCUUAGGGUUGUAAAGCUCUUUUAUCCGGGACGAUAAUGACGGUACCGGAGGAAUAAGCCCCGGCCAACUUCGUGCCAGCCGCCGCAGUAA
rnacentral:rRNA from 1 species